GAUGAACGCUAGCGACAGGCUUAACACAUGCAAGUCGAGGGGCAGCGGGGGUAGCAAUACCCGCCGGCGACCGGCGCACGGGUGAGUAACGCGUAUGCAACUUACCUAUCAGAGGGGGAUAACCCGGCGAAAGUCGGACUAAUACCGCAUGAAGCAGGGAUCCCGCAUGGGAAUAUUUGCUAAAGAUUCAUCGCUGAUAGAUAGGCAUGCGUUCCAUUAGGCAGUUGGCGGGGUAACGGCCCACCAAACCGACGAUGGAUAGGGGUUCUGAGAGGAAGGUCCCCCACAUUGGUACUGAGACACGGACCAAACUCCUACGGGAGGCAGCAGUGAGGAAUAUUGGUCAAUGGCCGAGAGGCUGAACCAGCCAAGUCGCGUGAGGGAUGAAGGUUCUAUGGAUCGUAAACCUCUUUUAUAAGGGAAUAAAGUGCGGGACGUGUCCCGUUUUGUAUGUACCUUAUGAAUAAGGAUCGGCUAACUCCGUGCCAGCAGCCGCGGUAAUACGGAGGAUCCGAGCGUUAUCCGGAUUUAUUGGGUUUAAAGGGUGCGUAGGCGGCCUUUUAAGUCAGCGGUGAAAGUCUGUGGCUCAACCAUAGAAUUGCCGUUGAAACUGGGGGGCUUGAGUAUGUUUGAGGCAGGCGGAA
rnacentral:rRNA from 1 species